AGAGUUUUAUCCUGGCUCAGGACGAACGCUGGCGGCGUGCUUAACACAUGCAAGUCGAGCGGUAAGGCCCCUUCGGGGGUACACGAGCGGCGAACGGGUGAGUAACACGUGAGCAAUCUGCCCUUCACACGGGGAUAACCACCGGAAACGGUGGCUAAUACCCGAUACGACCACUUCAGGCAUCUGAUGGUGGUGGAAAGUUCCGGCGGUGGAGGAUGAGCUCGCGGCCUAUCAGCUUGUUGGUGGGGUAAUGGCCUACCAAGGCAACGACGGGUAGCCGGCCUGAGAGGGUGACCGGCCACACUGGGACUGAGACACGGCCCAGACUCCUACGGGAGGCAGCAGUGGGGAAUAUUGGACAAUGGGCGAAAGCCUGAUCCAGCAACGCCGCGUGAGGGAUGACGGCCUUCGGGUUGUAAACCUCUUUCAGCAGGGACGAAGCGCAAGUGACGGUACCUGCAGAAGAAGCACCGGCCAACUACGUGCCAGCAGCCGCGGUAAUACGUAGGGUGCGAGCGUUGUCCGGAAUUAUUGGGCGUAAAGGGCUCGUAGGCGGUUUGUCGCGUCGGGAGUGAAAACUCAGGGCUUAACCCUGAGCCUGCUUCCGAUACGGGCAGACUAGAGGUAUGCAGGGGAGAACGGAAUUCCUGGUGUAGCGGUGAAAUGCGCAGAUAUCACGAGGAACACCGGUGGCGAAUGCGGUUCUCUGGGCAUUACCUGACGCUGAGGAGCGAAAGUGUGGGGAGCGAACAGGAUUAGAUACCCUGGUAGUCCACACCGUAAACGUUGGGCGCUAGGUGUGGGACUCAUUCCACGAGUUCCGUGCCGCAGCUAACGCAUUAAGCGCCCCGCCUGGGGAGUACGGCCGCAAGGCUAAAACUCAAAUGAAUUGACGG
rnacentral:rRNA from 1 species